ACUACAGAUUCUUGUGCACCGGCGGUUCACCGAGACACCAAAAUCAUCUUUAACGAAGCUUCACACCUGCUAGAAGACAUCGAACCAUCCGAGGGAAUAUCGGACAAUUUAACCAUCCGAGGGAACAUCGGAUAAAACCAUGACGUUUAUUUGGAAUAUCCUGAUAACAACCACAUUCCUUACUCAGCUAUCCCAACCACAAUCCAUCCACGUCAUUAAUCUCAAACAAAACCCCGGUCUUUUAACCAUAGAAACUGGCAACAGUUUUAUAAAAAUAGGCAAUCACAGAUUGUUUCAUAUCCUAGAACUGGAUAAUUACGAACCUAUUUUUAGAAAAUUGCUUGCUAAUAUUCAAGGAAUACGGACAUUCUCAAAUUUUACUGAUAUGUUUGAAAUCUUAGAAUCGAAAUAUGGAACCGUUCACAGUUUAUUCAAUAAUCUUCGGCCAAAGCAAAGAAAUAAAAGAGGAUUAUUUAAUUUUCUCGGAACUGGAAUAAAAAGAAUUACAGGAAAUAUGGACCAUAACGACUAUGAACAAAUUUCGAAAAAUAUUUUUGAACUGCAGAUCAAGAACAAAAGACUCAUUAACGAAAACAACGAACAGCUUAAAAUUAAUCUACAACUCCAAAAUAGAAUCAAUUCCAUUAUCAACCGUUUAAAUCAACAACAGAGUGAAAUAACUAAAAACAUUAUAUCAGCUAGAUUUGAAAACGAAACCAACAAAAACUUUAAAUUAUUUAGAGAAAUUUUGAAAAUCAAUUACAACUUAGACAACCUUAAAUCACAUUUAGAAGACAUUUUUGAAUCAAUUCAGUUAGCAAGAACUAACAUUAUUCCCAAACAAAUACUUUCAAUUGAAGAGUUAGGAUUUGUUUCAGAUAUAUUAGAAGAACAAAACAUUAGGACGAACAGUUUAGAUCAAAUUUAUGAAUAUUUAGAAUUGUCAGCAUUUUAUAACCAUUCAAAACUAAUAUUUGUUGUGUCAAUUCCAAAAAUAGAAAAAGCUAUGUAAACACAUUUUUUCCUAGAACCUCUUCCAGUAGUAGAUAAAAUUUUAAAACUUCCUGCUAAUGCUGCUUUGCAAAGCGACAACAGAACAUAUUUCAUCAAGAAGGAUUGCCUGCGAAUCGAAAGGACAAGGCUGUGCAAUCUAAGCAGCCUAGAGGACAUAACCGGCGACCUUUGCUACUCAAACCUACUAAGAGGACUAUCAGGAAACUGUACUUUCGUAAAAUGCUAUCAAUCAACGGAGAUCAAAGCGAUCAUGGACAAUUACCUUGUCGCUAAAAACAUCAAUAACACAGAAAUCGAAUCGAAUUGUGGUCUUUCAAAACGAAACUUAUCUGGAACGUAUUUGAUAGAGUUCCACAAUUGCUCUGUCAUAAUAAAUGGCACCAAGUUCUCAAAUGUCGAAGCAAACAAAUCAGAACCGACUUUUGUUAUGCCAUUAGAUGGUUUACAUAUCAAUGAACAGACCCUGGAAAUCCAGAAUAAUAUGGAAGAAAUUCACAUCCAUAAUAGACAUCGGAUUGAAGCAUUAACUAAGGAAUACAAAAUUCAGACAUACACAUCUCUAAGUAUGUCGACCGUAUGUUUUCUUCUAAGUAUCGUUGCAGGUCUUUCAUGGAUUUCGAGAAAACGCAGACAGAUAUUUCUUCAUAUUGGAGCAUCCAUGGAGUCUAAAAGCAAACCAGAAAUUAAACCUGAGACCAGUACAAUUCGGGACGAAUCGUCUCCAAAAGGGGGAGUAGUUAAGAUCGAACCCUUACCGAUCCUCAACAAUCAUCCAUACACCAAUCGCUUUAUUGGUGUAUCAUCAUUUUCAUCAUUCCCGGCAACAACAACAACAACGACGACGUCCACCACACCGACGACGAUAGCCCAGCUAGUAGAACGGAAACAGUAGUCUAGCAUCAGCAUUUCAUCACCUGACAACAUAGGUAGCAUUUACGUGGACAACCACCGAACGAGACCACUAAACGAAGCCACAGCCCUUUGGACCCGCGGCAUCAUCAGUUCUUCCACAGCAACAGCAUAAGCAUUGCAGUAGGUAGUGAGGUUUGAUCGUAAUCAAUAAUUGAAUAAAGGUUCAGUUCGUUUUAGGCAGUA